ensembl:snRNA U1 U1 spliceosomal RNA
AUACUUAACCUGGCAGGGAAGGUAUCAUGACCAAAAAGGUGGUUUCCCAGGGUGAGGCUUAUCCAUUGUACUGGGAUAUUCUGACUCCUGUGAUGUCUCUAAAUGCAGGAAACUCAACUGCAUAAUUUGUGAAAGUAGGGGAUUAUGCUCAUAUUAUCCCCUA